CUACGGGAUGCUCCAGUGGGGAAUAUUGGACAAUGGGGGAAACCCUGAUCCAGCAAUGCCGCGUGUGUGAAGAAGGCCUGCGGGUUGUAAAGCACUUUCGGUUGGGAGGACUGCUUCUAGCACUAAUAUUGUUGGAAGUUGACGUUACCUUCAGAAGAAGCACCGGCUAACUCCGUGCCAGCAGCCGCGGUAAUACGGAGGGUGCAGAGGCGUUAAUCGGAAUUACUGGGCGUAAAGCGCGCGUAGGCGGCUAGAUCAGUCGGGUGUGAAAGCCCCGGGCUUAACCUGGGAACUGCAUCCGAUACUGUCUAGCUUGAGUACAGGAGAGGAGAGUGGAAUUCCACAUGUAGCGGUGAAAUGCGUAGAUAUGUGGAGGAACACCAAUGGCGAAGGCAGCUCUCUGGCCUGAUACUGACGCUGAGGUGCGAAAGCGUGGGGAGCAAACAGGAUUAGAUACCCGCGUAGUC
rnacentral:rRNA from 1 species